GACGAACGCUGGCGGCAUGCCUAAUACAUGCAAGUCGAGCGGAGUUGAUGAGAAGCUUGCUUCUCUGAUGCUUAGCGGCGGGCGGGUGAGUAACACGUAGGCAACCUGCCCUCAAGCUUGGGACAACUACCGGAAACGGUAGCUAAUACCGAAUACUUGUUUUCUUCGCCUGAAGGAAACUGGAAAGACGGAGCCAUCUGUCACUUGGGGAUGGGCCUGCGGCGCAUUAGCUAGUUGGUGAGGUAACGGCUCACCAAGGCGACGAUGCGUAGCCGACCUGAGAGGGUGAUCGGCCACACUGGGACUGAGACACGGCCCAGACUCCUACGGGAGGCAGCAGUAGGGAAUCUUCCGCAAUGGGCGAAAGCCUGACGGAGCAAUGCCGCGUGAGUGAUGAAGGUUUUCGGAUCGUAAAGCUCUGUUGCCAGGGAAGAACGCUUGGGAGAGUAACUGCUCCCAAGGUGACGGUACCUGAGAAGAAAGCCCCGGCUAACUACGUGCCAGCAGCCGCCGCCG
rnacentral:rRNA from 1 species